rnacentral:ribozyme from 1 species
CUCAUGGAGCAGGAGCAGGAGCAGGAGCAGGAGCGGAGGAAUACAUGGGGGGGAGGCGACCUGUUGUGUCCUCCCGGCACCUGUUUCUGUCAGAACGGAUAUUCUCGUUGUCUG